GGGGUUUGGGACUGCUAGGGGUGGUCAUCUCGCUUGCACCGAGAAACUCAGAUGAGUUCGAAUCUCAUAAGCUCCA
rnacentral:tRNA from 1 species